rnacentral:rRNA from 1 species
UGGGGAAUAUUGGACAAUGGGCGAAAGCCUGAUCCAGCCAUGCCGCGUGUGUGAAGCAGGUCUUCGGAUUGUAAAGCACUUUAAGUUGGGAGGAAGGGCUGUAGAUUAAUACUCUGCAAUUUUGACGUUACCGACAGAAUAAGCACCGGCUAACUCUGUGCCAGCAGCCGCGGUAAUACAGAGGGUGCAAGCGUUAAUCGGAAUUACUGGGCGUAAAGCGCGCGUAGGUGGUUAGUUAAGUUGGAUGUGAAAUCCCCGGGCUCAACCUGGGAACUGCAUUCAAAACUGACUGACUAGAGUAUGGUAAGGGGUGAUGGGAUUUCCUGUGUUGCAGUGGAAUGCGUAGAUAUAGGAAGGAACGCCAGAGGCGAAGGCGACCACCUAAACUGAUACUGACACUGAGGUGCGAAAGCGUGGGGAGCAGACA